rnacentral:rRNA from 1 species
AGCGUACACGGUGGAUGCCCUGGCAGUCAGAGGCGAUGAAGGACGUGCUAAUCUGCGAUAAGCGUCGGUAAGGUGAUAUGAACCGUUAUAACCGGCGAUUUCCGAAUGGGGAAACCCAGUGUGUUUCGACACACUAUCAUUAACUGAAUCCAUAGGUUAAUGAGGCGAACCGGGGGAACUGAAACAUCUAAGUACCCCGAGGAAAAGAAAUCAACCGAGAUUCCCCCAGUAGCGGCGAGCGAACGGGGAGCAGCCCAGAGCCUGAAUCAGUGUGUGUGUUAGUGGAAGCGUCUGGAAAGGCGCGCGAUACAGGGUGACAGCCCCGUACACAAAAAUGCACAUGCUGUGAGCUCGAUGAGUAGGGCGGGACACGUGGUAUCCUGUCUGAAUAUGGGGGGACCAUCCUCCAAGGCUAAAUACUCCUGACUGACCGAUAGUGAACCAGUACCGUGAGGGAAAGGCGAAAAGAACCCCGGCGAGGGGAGUGAAAAAGAACCUGAAACCGUGUACGUACAAGCAGUGGGAGCACGCUUCGGCGUGUGACUGCGUACCUUUUGUAUAAUGGGUCAGCGACUUAUAUUCUGUAGCAAGGUUAACCGAAUAGGGGAGCCGAAGGGAAACCGAGUCUUAACUGGGCGUUAAGUUGCAGGGUAUAGACCCGAAACCCGGUGAUCUAGCCAUGGGCAGGUUGAAGGUUGGGUAACACUAACUGGAGGACCGAACCGACUAAUGUUGAAAAAUUAGCGGAUGACUUGUGGCUGGGGGUGAAAGGCCAAUCAAACCGGGAGAUAGCUGGUUCUCCCCGAAAGCUAUUUAGGUAGCGCCUCGUGAAUUCAUCUCCGGGGGUAGAGCACUGUUUCGGCAAGGGGGUCAUCCCGACUUACCAACCCGAUGCAAACUGCGAAUACCGGAGAAUGUUAUCACGGGAGACACACGGCGGGUGCUAACGUCCGUCGUGAAGAGGGAAACAACCCAGACCGCCAGCUAAGGUCCCAAAGUCAUGGUUAAGUGGGAAACGAUGUGGGAAGGCCCAGACAGCCAGGAUGUUGGCUUAGAAGCAGCCAUCAUUUAAAGAAAGCGUAAUAGCUCACUGGUCGAGUCGGCCUGCGCGGAAGAUGUAACGGGGCUAAACCAUGCACCGAAGCUGCGGCAGCGACACUAUGUGUUGUUGGGUAGGGGAGCGUUCUGUAAGCCUGUGAAGGUGUGCUGUGAGGCAUGCUGGAGGUAUCAGAAGUGCGAAUGCUGACAUAAGUAACGAUAAAGCGGGUGAAAAGCCCGCUCGCCGGAAGACCAAGGGUUCCUGUCCAACGUUAAUCGGGGCAGGGUGAGUCGACCCCUAAGGCGAGGCCGAAAGGCGUAGUCGAUGGGAAACAGGUUAAUAUUCCUGUACUUGGUGUUACUGCGAAGGGGGGACGGAGAAGGCUAUGUUGGCCGGGCGACGGUUGUCCCGGUUUAAGCGUGUAGGCUGGUUUUCCAGGCAAAUCCGGAAAAUCAAGGCUGAGGCGUGAUGACGAGGCACUACGGUGCUGAAGCAACAAAUGCCCUGCUUCCAGGAAAAGCCUCUAAGCAUCAGGUAACAUCAAAUCGUACCCCAAACCGACACAGGUGGUCAGGUAGAGAAUACCAAGGCGCUUGAGAGAACUCGGGUGAAGGAACUAGGCAAAAUGGUGCCGUAACUUCGGGAGAAGGCACGCUGAUAUGUAGGUGAAGUCCCUUGCGGAUGGAGCUGAAAUCAGUCGAAGAUACCAGCUGGCUGCAACUGUUUAUUAAAAACACAGCACUGUGCAAACACGAAAGUGGACGUAUACGGUGUGACGCCUGCCCGGUGCCGGAAGGUUAAUUGAUGGGGUUAGCGCAAGCGAAGCUCUUGAUCGAAGCCCCGGUAAACGGCGGCCGUAACUAUAACGGUCCUAAGGUAGCGAAAUUCCUUGUCGGGUAAGUUCCGACCUGCACGAAUGGCGUAAUGAUGGCCAGGCUGUCUCCACCCGAGACUCAGUGAAAUUGAACUCGCUGUGAAGAUGCAGUGUACCCGCGGCAAGACGGAAAGACCCCGUGAACCUUUACUAUAGCUUGACACUGAACAUUGAGCCUUGAUGUGUAGGAUAGGUGGGAGGCUUUGAAGUGUGGACGCCAGUCUGCAUGGAGCCGACCUUGAAAUACCACCCUUUAAUGUUUGAUGUUCUAACGUUGACCCGUAAUCCGGGUUGCGGACAGUGUCUGGUGGGUAGUUUGACUGGGGCGGUCUCCUCCUAAAGAGUAACGGAGGAGCACGAAGGUUGGCUAAUCCUGGUCGGACAUCAGGAGGUUAGUGCAAUGGCAUAAGCCAGCUUGACUGCGAGCGUGACGGCGCGAGCAGGUGCGAAAGCAGGUCAUAGUGAUCCGGUGGUUCUGAAUGGAAGGGCCAUCGCUCAACGGAUAAAAGGUACUCCGGGGAUAACAGGCUGAUACCGCCCAAGAGUUCAUAUCGACGGCGGUGUUUGGCACCUCGAUGUCGGCUCAUCACAUCCUGGGGCUGAAGUAGGUCCCAAGGGUAUGGCUGUUCGCCAUUUAAAGUGGUACGCGAGCUGGGUUUAGAACGUCGUGAGACAGUUCGGUCCCUAUCUGCCGUGGGCGCUGGAGAACUGAGGGGGGCUGCUCCUAGUACGAGAGGACCGGAGUGGACGCAUCACUGGUGUUCGGGUUGUCAUGCCAAUGGCACUGCCCGGUAGCUAAAUGCGGAAGAGAUAAGUGCUGAAAGCAUCUAAGCACGAAACUUGCCCCGAGAUGAGUUCU